GGUAAAAGACAGUUAGGCAAAAGAUAGGAAUUAUAAGACCUUUAGUAAAGGAGUAAAAUCUAUAUACUAAGAGUUACUCUAGAUAUAAUUUAUUUUAGGUGCUGAAUCUGUGACAACUUUAAGGGAAACUGGGAUUGGAUACCCCAUUAUUUUUAGUCGUAAACUUAGUUUAAACUUACCAGAGUACUACGAAUAAAAAGUUUAAAACUCAAAGGGCUUGGCGGUGUUUUAGACCUCUCAGGGGAACCUGUCUCAUAAUCGACAAUCCACGUUAGACCUGACCCUUUAUAGCAAUUCAGUUUGUAUACCGUCGUCGUCAGGUAACUUCUAAAAAUAUGGUAGUUAGCCAGAUAAUUAUAUUUAAUUAGGACGUCAGAUCAAGGUGCAGCCAAUAAAAGGGAGAGGAUGGGUUACAAUUAUAUAUUUAUAACUACGGAAAAAACUUGAAAUUAAGUGGCUCGAAGGAGGACUUGAAAGUAAUUUUGAUUAUAUAAGCAAAAUGAAUAAGGCUCUGAAACGUG
rnacentral:rRNA from 1 species